GACGAACGCUGCGGCGUGCUUAACACAUGCAAGUCGAGCGAUGAAACACCUUCGGGUGUGAAUUAGCGGCGAACGGGUGAGGAACACGUGAGAAAUCUGCCUUCAACUCUGGGAUAACUCCGGGAAACCGGGGCUAAUACCGGAUAUGAGCCUUGAUCGCAUGAUCGGGGCUGGAAAGUUUUUCGGUUGAAGAUGAUCUCGCGGCCUAUCAGCUUGUUGGUGAGGUAAUGGCUCACCAAGGCGACGACGGGUAGCCGGCCUGAGAGGGCGACCGGCCACACUGGGACUGAGACACGGCCCAGACUCCUACGGGAGGCAGCAGUGGGGAAUAUUGGGCAAUGGAGGAAACUCUGACCCAGCGACGCCGCGUGAGGGAUAAAGGUCUUCGGGUUGUAAACCUCUUUCAGUAGGGAAGAAGCGAAAGUGACGGU
rnacentral:rRNA from 1 species